CAGAGAUCAUGCCCUUCGGGGUAGACCUCCCACCCUAUGUUUACAUUACCUUUGUUGCUUUGGCGGGCCGUUCAGCCCUGUGCUGAACUACCGGCUUAUGCUGGUAAGCGCCUGCCAGAGGACCCCAACCUCUGAAUGUUAUCGUCGUCUGAGUACUAUAUAAUAGUUA
rnacentral:misc_RNA from 1 species